AGAGUUUGAUCCUGGCUCAGAUUGAACGCUGGCGGCAUGCUUUACACAUGCAAGUCGAACGGCAGCGCGGGGCAACCUGGCGGCGAGUGGCGAACGGGUGAGUAAUAUAUCGGAACGUACCCAAGAGUGGGGGAUAACGUAGCGAAAGUUACGCUAAUACCGCAUACGAUCUAUGGAUGAAAGUGGGGGAUCGCAAGACCUCAUGCUCGUGGAGCGGCCGAUAUCUGAUUAGCUAGUUGGUGGGGUAAAAGCCUACCAAGGCAUCGAUCAGUAGCUGGUCUGAGAGGACGACCAGCCACACUGGGACUGAGACACGGCCCAGACUCCUACGGGAGGCAGCAGUGGGGAAUUUUGGACAAUGGGCGCAAGCCUGAUCCAGCAAUGCCGCGUGAGUGAGGAAGGCCUUCGGGUUGUAAAGCUCUUUUGUCAGGGAAGAAACGGUGAGGGCUAAUAUCCCUUGCUAAUGACGGUACCUGAAGAAUAAGCACCGGCUAACUACGUGCCAGCAGCCGCGGUAAUACGUAGGGUGCAAGCGUUAAUCGGAAUUACUGGGCGUAAAGCGUGCGCAGGCGGUUGUGCAAGACCGAUGUGAAAUCCCCGGGCUUAACCUGGGAAUGGCAUUGGUGACUGCACGACUAGAGUGUGUCAGAGGGGGGUAGAAUUCCACGUGUAGCAGUGAAAUGCGUAGAGAUGUGGAGGAAUACCGAUGGCGAAGGCAGCCCCCUGGGAUAACACUGACGCUCAUGCACGAAAGCGUGGGGAGCAAACAGGAUUAGAUACCCUGGUAGUCCACGCCCUAAACGAUGUCAACUAGUUGUCGGGUCUUAAUUGACUUGGUAACGCAGCUAACGCGUGAAGUUGACCGCCUGGGGAGUACGGUCGCAAGAUUAAAACUCAAAGGAAUUGACGGGGACCCGCACAAGCGGUGGAUGAUGUGGAUUAAUUCGAUGCAACGCGAAAAACCUUACCUACCCUUGACAUGGCAGGAAUCCUUGAGAGAUCAGGGAGUGCUCGAAAGAGAACCUGCACACAGGUGCUGCAUGGCUGUCGUCAGCUCGUGUCGUGAGAUGUUGGGUUAAGUCCCGCAACGAGCGCAACCCUUGUCAUUAGUUGCUACGAAAGGGCACUCUAAUGAGACUGCCGGUGACAAACCGGAGGAAGGUGGGGAUGACGUCAAGUCCUCAUGGCCCUUAUGGGUAGGGCUUCACACGUCAUACAAUGGUACAUACAGAGGGCCGCCAACCCGCGAGGGGGAGCUAAUCCCAGAAAGUGUAUCGUAGUCCGGAUUGCAGUCUGCAACUCGACUGCAUGAAGUUGGAAUCGCUAGUAAUCGCGGAUCAGCAUGUCGCGGUGAAUACGUUCCCGGGUCUUGUACACACCGCCCGUCACACCAUGGGAGCGGGUUUUACCAGAAGUAGGUAGCUUAACCGCAAGGAGGGCGCUUACCACGGUAGGAUUCGUGACUGGGGUGAAGUCGUAACAAGGUAACC
rnacentral:rRNA from 1 species